ACCACUAUAGCUCAGUGGUUAGAGCAUCUACUUUGCACACAGAAAGUCCCAGUUUCAAUCUUUGGCCUCUCCUGGUAGGGCUGGGGUA